rnacentral:rRNA from 1 species
UAUAAGACUGGGAUAACGUCCUGGAAACCCGGGGGACGUAAUACCGGAUAACACAUGAAACCGCAUGGUUUCAUGAUGAAAGACGGUUUUGCUGUCACUUAUAGAUGGACCCGCGGCGUAUUAGCUAGUUGGUAAGGUAACGGCUUACCAAGGCAACGAUACGUAGCCGACCUGAGAGGGUGAUCGGCCACACUGGAACUGAGACACGGUCCAGACUCCUACGGGAGGCAGCAGUC